GCCCCCGUAGCUCAACAGGCAGAGCAGGCGCCUUUUAAGCGCACGGUUGGAGGUUCGAGUCCUCCCGGGGGCA
rnacentral:tRNA from 1 species